CUGACUGCUAUCGGAUGAUACUAAGCCAUGCGAGUCAUUGUAGCAAUACAAGGCAGACGGCUCAGUAACGCGUAGUCAACCUACCCUAUGGACGGGAAUAACCUCGGGAAACUGAGUAUAAUGCCCGAUAGAACAUUAUGCCUGGAAUGGUUUAUGUUCCAAAUGAUUUAUCGCCGUAGGAUGGGACUGCGGCCUAUCAGUUUGUUGGUGAGGUAAUGGCCCACCAAGACUAUUACAGGUACGGGCUCUGAGAGGAGUAGCCCGGAGAUGGGUACUGAGACACGGACCCAGGCCCUAUGGGGCGCAGCAGGCGAGAAAACUUUGCAAUGUGCGAAAGCACGACAAGGUUAAUCCGAGUGGUUUCUGCUAAAGGAACCUUUUGUUAGUCCUAAAAACACUAACGAAUAAGGGGUGGGCAAGUUCUGGUGUCAGCCGCCGCGGUAAAACCAGCACCUCAAGUGGUCAGGAUGAUUAUUGGGCCUAAAGCAUCCGUAGCCUGCUCUGUAAGUUUUCGGUUAAAUCUGUAUGCUCAACAUACAGGCCGCCGGAAAUACUGCAGGGCUAGGGAGUGGGAGAGGUAGACGGUACUCGGGAGGAAGUGGUAAAAUGCUUUGAUCUCUCGAUGACCACCUGUGGCGAAGGCGGUCUACCAGAACACGUCCGACGGUGAGGGAUGAAAGCUGGGGGAGCAAACCGGAUUAGAUACCCGGGUAGUCCCAGCUGUAAACGAUGCAGACUCGAUGAUGCAUUGGCAUAAUAGCCAGUGCAGUGUCGCAGGGAAGCCGUUAAGUCUGCCGCCUGGGAAGUACGUACGCAAGUAUGAAACUUAAAGGAAUUGGCGGGGGAGCACCACAAGGGGUGAAGCCUGCGGUUCAAU
rnacentral:rRNA from 1 species